UGCCAGCCGCCGCGGUAAUACGGGGGGUCCUAACGUUGUUCGGAAUCAUUGGGCGUAAAGCGGGUGUAGGCGGCCCUAUAAGUCAGAUGUGAAAGCCCCGGGCUCAACCCGGGAAGUGCAUUUGAAACUAUAGGGCUUGAGUAUCUGAGAGGUUAGUGGAAUUCCUGGUGUAGAGGUGAAAUUCGUAGAUAUCAGGAGGAACAUCGGUGGGGAAGCCGGCUGACUGGCAGAAUACUGACGCUCAGACCCGAAAGCGUGGGGAGCAAACAGGAUAGAUA
rnacentral:rRNA from 1 species